rnacentral:rRNA from 1 species
AAGCUUGCUUCUCUUGAGAGCGGCGGACGGGUGAGUAAUGCCUAGGAAUCUGCCUGGUAGUGGGGGAUAACGUUCGGAAACGGACGCUAAUACCGCAUACGUCCUACGGGAGAAAGCAGGGGACCUUCGGGCCUUGCGCUAUCAGAUGAGCCUAGGUCGGAUUAGCUAGUUGGUGGGGUAAUGGCUCACCAAGGCGACGAUCCGUAACUGGUCUGAGAGGAUGAUCAGUCACACUGAAACUGAGACACGGUCCAGACUCCUACGGGAGGCAGCAGUGGGGAAUAUUGGACAAUGGGCGAAAGCCUGAUCCAGCCAUGCCGCGUGUGUGAAGAAGGUCUUCGGAUUGUAAAGCACUUUAAGUUGGGAGGAAGGGCAGUUACCUAAUACGUGAUUGUUUUGACGUUACCGACAGAAUAAGCACCGGCUAACUCUGUGCCAGCAGCCGCGGUAAUACAGAGGGUGCAAGCGUUAAUCGGAAUUACUGGGCGUAAAGCGCGCGUAGGUGGUUUGUUAAGUUGGAUGUGAAAUCCCCGGGCUCAACCUGGGAACUGCAUUCAAAACUGACUGACUAGAGUAUGGUAGAGGGUGGUGGAAUUUCCUGUGUAGCGGUGAAAUGCGUAGAUAUAGGAAG